GAGACUCGGCGCACUGACAGAGGUGGGCGGGGAGGAGUAGAACUCUGUCCCCUGAUAUUUUUAUCCAUCCAUCAAAUAUAACUAUAAGGCUCAUCACCCCACUCUUCCUUCUCUCCUGCCCUCCCUGCGGACAUGGCCACGGUCCUUAUCAAAUGCACUCCCCCUGGAGAACCAACCCUACACCAGAGAUUGAACGGGCCUCCUUGAUGUGUCCUCUCCAACCCCACUUGGUUCUCAGCUCAACAGGCUUAAACCACAGGAUGUCAUCUACCAGAGAGAAAAGAGCAGAGGUCAGUUCAAAUGAAGAUACAUCAUGUAAACCACAGGUGAGUCAGAGCCAUUUCCUACAUCGCCACAUUGGUAGUACGACAGAAGUUGUGUGCCAAAUGGUACAGAUUCUCUAUAUAGUGCACUACCUAUGGGCCCUGGUCAAAAGUAGUGCACUAUCAAAGGAAUGGGGUGCCAUUUGCAACAG